rnacentral:misc_RNA from 1 species
UACGAAGGGGGCGAGCGUUGUUCGGAAUCACUGGGCUUAAAGCGUACGUAGGCGGCUAUUCAAGUCAGAAGUGAAAUCCCGGGGCUUAACCCCGGAACUGCUUUUGAAACUAGAUAGCUAGAGUCCCGGAGAGGUUAGGGGAAUUCCGAGUGUAGAGGUGAAAUUCGCAGAUAUUCGGAGGAACACCAGUGGCGUAGGCGCCUAACUGGACGGGAACUGACGCUGAGGUACGAAAGCAUGGGGAGCAAACAGG